rnacentral:rRNA from 1 species
UACGUAGGGACCGAGCGUUGUCCGGAAUCAUUGGGCGUAAAGAGCGUGUAGGCGGCCACUUAAGUCCUGCGUGAAAUCUUGCGGCUCAACCGCAAGCGGUCGUGGGAAACUGGGUGGCUAGAGUGCGGGAGAGGAGAGUGGAAUUCCUGGUGUAGCGGUGGAAUGCGCAGAUAUCAGGAAGAACACCCGUGGCGAAGGCGGCUCUCUGGAACGCAACUGACGCUGAGGCACGAAAGCCAGGGGAGCAAACGGG